rnacentral:rRNA from 1 species
GGGUGCGAUCAUACCAGCACUAAUGCACCGGAUCCCAUCAGAACUCCGCAGUUAAGCGUGCUUGGGCGAGAGUAGUACUAGG